CCAGACUCCUACGGGAGGCAGCAGUGGGGAAUAUUGCACAAUGGGGGAAACCCUGAUGCAGCGACGCCGCGUGAGCGAUGAAGUAUUUCGGUAUGUAAAGCCCUAUCAGCAGGGAAGAAAAUGACGGUACCUGACUAAGAAGCCCCGGCUAACUACGUGCCAGCAGCCGCGGUAAUACGUAGGGGGCAAGCGUUAUCCGGAUUUACUGGGUGUAAAGGGAGCGUAGACGGCCAGACAAGUCAGAAGUGAAAGCCCAGGGCUCAACCCUGGGACUGCUUUUGAAACUGCCGGGCUGGAGUGCAGGAGAGAUAAGCGGAAUUCCUAGUGUAGCGGUGAAAUGCGUAGAUAUUAGGAGGAACACCAGUGGCGAAGGCGGCUUACUGGACUGUAACUGACGUUGAGGCUCGAAAGCGUGGGGAGCAAACAGGAUUAGAUACCCCUGUAUCC
rnacentral:rRNA from 1 species